rnacentral:ncRNA from 1 species
UGAAAGUUUUUUUGCUUUUAUUUUUUAGAAAAGUUUAAAUUAAAUGCGAGUUUUAGCGGGAUAAAUAUGGGGUUUAAAUAGCUUAAUUAUUGUGGGGGCAGUAAUUAGUUUUAUAUAUUUGAGGGGUCAAGAUAUAGGGGGGUUUAUAGUACAAACAAAAUUUGUGCCAGCAGUUGCGGUUAGACAAAUUGUGCAAUAAAAAUUUAUUGGGUGUAGUUAGCUUGAGGACAGGGAAGCUUGAGGUUUUAUUAUUAGGUGAAAUUUUAAUUUUUAGGGGUUUUCAAUAAGGUAGCGAAGCUAGCAAAAUUUAUAAAAAACUAGGAUUAGAUACCCUAUUAUAAAAAUGUAGCUAAAAGCCUUAAUUAUUACUAGUUAGGUUCUUGAAAAUUAAGAAAGAUGGCGGUAUUUUAGUCUAUUCAGAGGAAUCUGCCCUGUAAUUGAUAUUCCACGAUUUUAAGUACUUGGUUUUUUAGUUUGCAUAUCGCCGUAGGUUGAAUAUUUCUGUUGAAUUUAAAUGUUCAGGAUUCUGGGAGGAAGAAAAUCAGGUCAAGAUGUAGUUUAUGGCCAAGAAGAGGUGGAUUACAAUAGUUUUAUAUUUAUGGAUUUUUUUUGUAACGAAAAUAGUAAAUUGGAUUUGAAAGUAAUUUUUUAAGUAGAUUUUAAAAAUGAUUUAGCUCUAAAAUAUGUACAUAUCGCCCGUCGCUUUCACUAUAAGGUGGAAUAAGUCGUAACAUAGUAGGUGUACUGGAAAGUGUUUCUAGAAGGCA